rnacentral:rRNA from 1 species
AUUCACUCAGUGAAGGAAGAACAAGCAACUGCGAUUGCUUCAGUAAUGGCGAAUGAACUGGCAACAGACAGGCUCAGCCUGAAUGGAAUCCAGCUGCACCAGUGGUGCACCCGGCUUGUGUGAGAUUCAGCAGAUGCUGUGGGUUGAUGAAGCAGGUGGUGAGUCUGGUCAGGCCAUGCACCAAGAAUGUCCCUGGAAUGGGGCAACUACAAAAGGAUACUGUCCUGUAUGGUGCUGUGUGCUGUGGUCUGGCUUGGCUAUGCUGCUUGCAUUCAAGAGUAGAGUUKGCUGGGACUGCAGUUUGAAGAGUGUGGUGUAUCCUACACAAGGCAGAAUACUGACAUGGAACCGAUAGAGCACAAGUAGAGUGAUUGAAGGAUGCAAAGCACCUUGCAAAGGGGGUUCAAUGUCCCUGAAGCCUCAACAGGAACGGCGGAGAGUGGUGCUGUGGUUAUCUGGUCGCCAUCAGGCAGCCAGUCCCAGUUGGACCUGGUCCCUGACCAUCCACUGGCUGGUUCUGUCCUGAGACCAGGGUCUCCCUGUCACAGGGGACCAACAUUGGAAUCCAAGCAACCUUGGGCUGGCCCAGAGCUGGUCACUGAGCUCCAUCCAGGAUGUUGGAAUGCCUAUCGUGACAGUUUGUGGUGACACUCAGCUUACCUGAGCCUGAGGGCAGACAGAUCAGUGAAGUCACAUCACAGCAAGAGUCCAUCUCCAAGAGGAGACUGUGUGUGAAGAGCCAUGCCAAACCUGCUUUGUCUCCGGACAUUGCAGUGCAUUGUGCCUUGAUAUGUUGAAGCCAUSCAUGCUSCUGUUGGCUGCACCAUCCUGAUGGUGGCUCACUGGUGGUGGAGCUUUGCAGAGAGUGUGCAGUGCAGAUGGCAGUUGAGCUGUCUCAGACCMCUUUGCCKU